UCUCAUCAAGAGUAGUGGAGGGUACGGCCCUUUGAAACUACAGCAACCCUUCUUUGUGAAAAGGUGCUAAUUCCGACGGCGUAGCCGGUAGAUGAG
rnacentral:ncRNA from 1 species